CACGGAGGAAAAGAAACUAACAAGGAUUCCCCUAGUAACGGCGAGUGAAGCGGGAAGAGCUCAAAUUUGAAAUCUGGUAGCCUUCGGUUGCCCGAGUUGUAAUCUAGAGAAGUGUUUUCCGUGCCGGCCCAUGUACAAGUCCCUUGGAACAGGGCGUCAUAGAGGGUGAGAAUCCCGUCCUUGACAUGGACCCCCGGUGCUUUGUGAUACACUUUCAACGAGUCGAGUUGUUUGGGAAUGCAGCUCAAAAUGGGUGGUGAAUUCCAUCUAAAGCUAAAUAUUGGCGAGAGACCGAUAGCGAACAAGUACCGUGAGGGAAAGAUGAAAAGCACUUUGGAAAGAGAGUUAAACAGUACGUGAAAUUGUUGAAAGGGAAACGAUUGAAGUCAGUCAUGCUCUUGGGACUUACCUCCCUUGAGUGGGGUCAACAUCAGUUUUGAUCGAUGGAUAAAGGCACGGGGAAGGUAGCACUCUCGGGUGAACUUAUAGCCUCGCGUCAUAUACAUUGAUUGGGACUGAGGAACGCAGCAUGCCUUAUGGCCGGGAUUCGUCCACGUACAUGCUUAGGAUGUUGACAUAAUGGCU
rnacentral:rRNA from 1 species